GUCGCUCUGAGGGGUCGCCAGUCGCCGCAGGCGCUUCAGCCCAGCGGCGGGCCUUGGCCCUUGGCUGCCUACUCCUACCGCCCCAGCCCCGGGCGGCCCUGGGCCUGCUGCGGGCGCGGCGCUGCCCGACCAGAGCUUCCUGUGGAACGUCUUCCAGAGGGUCGAUAAAGACAGGAGUGGAGUGAUAUCAGACACCGAGCUUCAGCAAGCUCUCUCCAACGGCACGUGGACUCCCUUUAAUCCAGUGACUGUCAGGUCGAUCAUAUACUACACUGAAGGCUGGUUACGCUCUUAUGUGCAAUAGAACCUCAAACACAUCGUAACACACCUUUGGAGAAUCCUUACAAGAACACCAAGUUAACAGUUAUCUCUGACCACACUACCUCAGCAAAAAACCAGGAAGAAAAAAUAUUCUUCAACCCUUUUCAGGGACAGAAAGCAUCAUUUCAAAAGUCCAAGAAGGGAAGCAAAACUUCUGACCUGAGACAUCGAAGCAGAUAAAAAGCCGCUACACAAAAUGUAUCGCUACAACUAGAGGGCAGUCUUGCCUUUCUUCCAUUCAAUUAUUCAGUUUCUCAUGUUCCUAAGUGCCAGCCCAGAACCAUGGAAUGUGAAGAAACACAAAACUCACUCCUCUGCAUCAGUGAAUUGAUUGUGUGGUGGGGAUGUAAGUCUGCAUGUGACUGACAGUUCCCCAAAGUGGUGCCAAGUCAAUCUAAACUAGAGAGAAUUUCUGGCCAGGCCAAGCAGAGAUUUCAUGGAUGAAGUCUCCCAAAGACUGAUUUCCUAAACAUUAAACAUCACUGGUUUUCCAAAACUGGUUUUCUUUUUUUUUUUUUAACCCUGUUUCUCAGGCUGGAGGGCAAGUGGUGCCAUCUCCACUCACUGCAGCCUCGACCUCCCAGGCUCCACUGAUCUUCCCACCUCAGCCUCCUGAGUAGCUGGGACUACAGGUGUGCACCGCCACGACUCGCUAAUUUUUGUAUUUUUUGUAGAGACGGGGUUUUGCUGUGUUGCUCAGGCUGGUCACUCGAUCUGCCCACCUGGGUCUCGCAGAGUGCUGGGGUUACAGGUAUGAGCCACCACGCCCAGCCCACUGGUUUCCUUUACACCCGUUUUGUUCCCCAGCAGUCCUUAUGAGGGCACCUGAAAUAAGGAACCUCCUCCCCGACUUGAGAGCAGCAAAGCCUUCAGAGGGAACUAAGUUAUUAAAACCCACCCCACACAAAAUGCUUCUAAACGCCUUGGCUGACUUAAUCCUUGCAGUGUGCUGAGGUUAAGUAUGAUUAUCCAUCUCCUGUGAACAGGAAGACUGAGGCUCAGAGCUUAAGUGAUUUGCCCACGGUUCACUGCAGGGGAUAAAACUCGGCUGUCCCUGGCAGGUCCCAAAGUCACGGCCUUCAGGCUCCCACACCAUGCUGCCUCCCUCACCGGGGCUCCACACUCUCAGCCUGGAAAACACUAAUUUUAAGAAAACCAUGACUUACGAAAAGCAGCCAAUCCCAGCAUUGGAACCAACAGGGCAUAAUUCCACCUGCUUCCAUCACCACCAUCCGCCCUGGAAUUAGGCCGGAUAUUCCAAUUUGGGGGAUCAUUUAGGUUAUUCAUGGAGAUAUACCUUGAAGUAAAGAAUAAAAACGUUAACUACUUUUAUUCAAGAAAUUUUUCUUCAGUUUUAACUAUGUGCUUGCUGCACAGCACUGAGGCCCUACGGGAUUCAAAGAAGAAAAAAACUAGACCAGAGCCGGGCAUGGUGGCGGGCACCUGUAGUCCCAGCUACUCGGGAGGCUGAGGCAGGAGAAUCGCUUGAACCUGGGAGGUGAAGGUUGCAGUGAGUCGAGGUCGCGCCACUGCACUCCAGCCUGGUGACAGAACGAGACUCCGUCUCAAAAAAAAAGAAAAAGAAAAAGGAAAAAAAAACAAGACCUUAGGUGAAAGCGACUCACAAUCUGGUUGGGGAAAGUGGAGAAAACAGACAUGUCUUAAGCAUCUGAAGUGCAGGUAGAAUCAGGUCCUGAGGCACGUGAAUGGCCAGGAUCAGAUUGUGCCCGGCCUGUACGCCUGUGGGGAGGCCGCCUGUGCCUCGGUACAUGGUGCCAAUCGGCUCGGGGCAAACUCGCUCUUGGACUUGGUUGUCUUUGGUCAGGCAUGUGCCCUGAGCAUCGAAGAGUCAUGCAGGCCUGGAGAUAAAGUCCCUCCAAUUAAACCAAACGCUGGGGAAGAAUCUGUCAUGAAUCUUGACAAAUUGAGAUUUGCUGAUGGAAGCAUAAGAACAUGAGAACUGCGACUCAGCAUGCAGAAGGGCUGCUGGCUUGUGUCACGUUCACCACCAGACCCCGCGUCAGGAGUCCCGCCAGGGGUGUGGGGAGGCAGCACUGCCUGGUUGGCCGUGGAGCUGUA
rnacentral:lncRNA from 1 species